rfam:Actinophytocola xinjiangensis strain CGMCC 4.4663 contig1, whole genome shotgun sequence.
GGGCGAUUAGCUCAGCGGGAGAGCGUUCCGCUCACACCGGAAAGGUCACUGGUUCGAUCCCAGUAUCGCCCA